AGAGUUUGAUCCUGGCUCAGAAUGAACUCUGGCGGCGUGCCAAACACAUGCAAGUCGAACGGAGAGUGUAGCAAUAUACUUUUAGUGGCGAACGGGUGAGUAACGCGUUGGUGACCUGCCCCGAAGCGAGGGAUAACAGUUCGAAAGAACUGCUAAUACCUCAUGUGAUCACCGGUUUUAGAAUCUGGUGAUUAAAGGUGAAAAUCACUUCGGGAGGGGCCUGCGUCCCAUCAGCUAGUUGGUAAGGUAAUGGCUUACCAAGGCGAUGACGGGUAGGGGACCUGAGAGGGUGGCCCCCCACAAUGGAACUGAAACACGGUCCAUACACCUACGGGUGGCAGCAGUAGGGAAUAUUGCAAAUGGGCGAAAGCCUGAUGUAGCAACGCCGCGUGUGCGAUGAAGGUCUUCGGAUUGUAAAGCACUUUUUGGAGGGAUGAGGAAGGACAGUACCUCCAGAAUAAGCCUCGGCUAACUACGUGCCAGCAGCCGCGGUAACACGUAGGAGGCAAGCGUUAUUCGGAUUUACUGGGCGUAAAGCGCGUGCAGGCGGUUUGGAAAGUUGGAUGUGAAAGCUCCUGGCUCAACUGGGAGAGGUCGUUCAAAACUUCCAGACUUGAGAGUGGUAGAGGGAGGUGGAAUUCCGGGUGUAGUGGUGAAAUGCGUAGAUAUCCGGAGGAACACCAGUGGCGAAAGCGGCCUCCUGGACCACUUCUGACGCUCAGACGCGAAAGCUAGGGUAGCAAACGGGAUUAGAGACCCCGGUAGUCUUAGCUGUAAACGAUGUGAACUUAGUGUCGGUGGGUUUAAAUCCAUCGGUACUGAAGCAAACGCGAUAAGUUCACCGCCUGGGGACUACGGCCGCAAGGUUAAAACUCAAAGGAGUUGACGGGGCCCCGCACAAGCAGCGGAGCAUGUGGUUUAAUUCGAAGCAACGCGAAGAACCUUACCUGGUCUUGACAUCCUCCUGACCGUCCCUUAAUCGGGAUUUUCCUUCGGGACAGGAGUGACAGGUGGUGCAUGGUUGUCGUCAGCUCGUGUCGUGAGGUGUUGGGUUAAGUCCCGCAACGAGCGCAACCCCUGCUCUUAGUUACCAG
rnacentral:rRNA from 1 species